UUUCUUUGAGUAAAAUUGUUCCCUAUUUUGAAAGGGCAAAAGAAAGAACCAUCGAAGUCUCCACCCUCUCUAUAGACCCGUCAAAAUCUCCAUCUCCACCACUAAGCCGCUUGGUUCCACCGGUACCAAAUCCAGCAUCCCUGAAAUUUUCUUCUCCAUUGACCCAACAUAUGCGUCUAAGAAAGAGAAAAUUUCAGCAUUCAAAAGUGCACUUAUAUUUCAUCUUCUUGUGGACUAGCAAACAUUGAGCAAGCAUACAGAUAUUGAGCAGCAUUUAGUGCAGUGUUUGGAAAGGAGCAGCAUGGUCAGCCUGGUCGAAUACGAUGGUAUGGUAGAUCAGUGACAGCAAGUACUCUGAAAAAAGAUGAGGAAAUCAGCAAGCUCCAAUAAAAGCAUAACAAUGAAGUCUCUACUUUGAAAGAAGAAAUGCAAGAAAUGAGAGAAGAAAUGCAAGAAUUGAGGCAAUUGCGUCAUUGCUUUAAUCUAUUGGUGCAAAACAAUCCUGGACUCAAUGUUCAAGAUAUACCAGCAUUUGUCGGAUCUAACCAACCUUCUCCAGUUGAUGCAAAUAGCGCACAAGCUGUAUAUCACGACCCAAAAUUCUCACCUUCGGACCGUGAUGGCGCCUAACAUUUCACUUGCUAGGCAAGCCAACGU